GUGGGGAAUAUUGGACAAUGGGGGAAACCCUGAUCCAGCCAUGCCGCGUGUGUGAAGAAGGCCUUCGGGUUGUAAAGCACUUUCAGUAGGGAGGAAAGCUCGGUAGCUAAUAUCUGCCGGGAUUGACGUUACCUACAGAAGCAGCACCGGCUAACUUCGUGCCAGCAGCCGCGGUAAUACGAAGGGUGCAAGCGUUAAUCGGAAUUACUGGGCGUAAAGCGCGCGUAGGCGGUUUGGUUAGUUGGAUGUGAAAGCCCCGGGCUCAACCUGGGAACUGCAUGCAAUACUGCCAGGGUAGAGUACGGUAGAGGGGGGUAGAAUUCCACGUGUAGCGGUGAAAUGCGUAGAGAUGUGGAGGAAUACCAGUGGCGAAGGCGGCCCCCUGGAUCGAUACUGACGCUGAGGUGCGAAAGCGUGGGGAGCAAACAGGAUUAGAAACCCCUGUAGUCC
rnacentral:rRNA from 1 species